rnacentral:lncRNA from 1 species
GAAGACCCUGUCUGAAGAAAAUUAUUUGACAUCUUUCUCACAGAAAUGGCCCCCAGCUGGGUCCUGCUUGAUGCUAGCUGCCCCCGCUCCUGGGGACAAUUACUAAUUAACUGUUUUUGUUAACUCUUUUUUAUGUGAAAGGAUGUAAAAUGUGCACUUUGACGAAGUGAUCCAGGCCAAGAUGAUCCAGACCUUGCAGAUAUCAAAGGGAAGACUCAUUAAGGAACGAUUUAAUCAGAACAACCAUUUUGUAAGGUAAAACCCAACAUACUCCCCUGAAUGUGGAACUUGUUAAAAACAUUUGGCUGAAAAACAAAGAUAAGAGUAUCAUAAUGGGAACUGUCUGUAAAUUAACCCAGGGGGGUGCGGGGUCCUUUUUUUUCUUUUUGGGUGGGGGGCAUCCCCAUUCCCCACCCCAUGCUGACCGCAGCACUUCUGCGUCACGCAACCCUUGGGACCACAUCUCUCCUCAGGAUGGCAACCGGUGACAUCAGGCGAGCUUCCAGCUGCCAUUGGGGGACAAAGUUUCCAUGGUGCCCACAGGACGGGGCAAUGGGAGCAGGGCUGCUGCUGCUGGGGGUCCUGGUUUGAGCCCAGCAGCAUGGGCUGCAUGGGGCUGGGAUGUUCAGGGGCUCCUGCUUCCCCUCCUGACGGGCCUAAUUUCCCCCAGAGCCACAGCCCAAAUUGAUCCCCAUUGUGGUGGAGAUGACUGUCACCACCACGUCUGUCAUCGCUGCCCUGGCUGGAUUUGCUGUCUGGAAGAGCAAGCAGGGUGGGUGAGGCAGAGGGGUGCGGGAAGAAGGCAGGGUCUGGAGGGGCUGUAUGAGGAGCUGGGGCACCUUUGGGAGGCCCCCAUCCUGGCCGUGACAUGUGGCUGGUGCUGAUGCUACAACGUGGCAUCAGGUGAAUGACAGAGGCAGCGAUGUCCCCAGCCUCUGCCCAUCACUAGGGCAGUCUUGGGGCUCUUGGUUUUUCUUGGGGCUCCCAGCAUAGCGGUGCUGCGUUCUACUCAUGGUGCUGCUGCCCUUCCUGUGCCAGCUCCUGGGCUGGGGCUCACGGCCGCUUCUCUCUUGCAGUCAAUGACGGGGAAUCCAACAGCUCAAACACAGGUACAGAAUGAGGCUGGGAGUUAAGGCAGGAGCCCCAGGGAGGUUUUGGGGUCCCAACUUGUCAUGUCCCCCUGUGGUACCUGCAAUCAGGGUGUUGCUGUGCCCAACUGAUCCAUGGCUUCCCUGGGAAAACUCUCAGAGUAGUAGGUUUGGGACAGGGACAUGGCCCCAUAUGACACUGCCUCUUUUUGUUCCUGCACGGGGCAACCCCAGUGUCUAACCACUCUGCUUCAGCCCAUGAGGGACCAGAAGGCCCCCUGUGUACUCUGCACUGCAUCUGGAUGUGGCCCUGUUCCCUCAACCUCUCGCAUCUUCUAUCUACUACUGAAGAGCAGUGCGAAGCAUAAUUGAAUCUGAAUGCCUUCAAACAAAAUAAACAGCCCAAUGAUUUUCUGAUUUGCCACAAAGUGUGCCUGGUGUCUGAUCUGGAGUGGCAGGUGGGAGCGGGUGGGCAAGGUGCUCCUAUCCUGGCCUGGUGGGUCAGGGUUGCCCAGAGAAGCUGCAUGGGGAAGUUGGGGAGGCAUCGAUGGAGGCUGGGAGCUGCAUGCAGAAUCACAGAAUCACAGAAUCACAGAAUUUUCUAGGUUGGAAGAGACCUCAAGAUCAUCGAGUCCAACCUCUGACCUAAAACUAACAGUCCCCACUAAACCAUAUCCCUAAGCUCUACAUCUAAACGUCUUUUGAAGACUUCCAGGGAUGGUGACUCCACCACCUCCCUGGGCAGCCCGUUCCAAUGCCUCACAACCCUUUCAGUAAAGAAAUUCUUCCUAACAUCUAACCUAAAACUCCCCUGGCGUAACUUUAGCCCAUUCCCCCUCGUCCUGUCACCAGGCACAUGGGAGAACAGGCCAACCCCCACCUCGCUACAGCCUCCUUUAAUGUACUUAUACAGAGCAAUAAGGUCACCCCUGAGCCUCCUCUUCUCUAGGCUGAACAAGCCCAGCUCCUUCAGCCGCUCCUCGUAGGACUUGCUCUCCAGGCCCCUCACCAGCUUCGUCGCCCUUCUUUGGACCCGCUCAAGCACCUAAAGAUCUCAGAUGCAGAAAGAUCUCAGCACAGGGGUGGCUGUCACUAUUGUCUGUCAUCGCUGCCCUGGCUGGAUUUGCUGUCUGGAAGAGCAAGCAGAGUAAAGUGCCUGGGUGGUUGAAGAAGAGGGGUGCACAAGGAAGGUAGGGGCUGGAGGAGCUGUAUGAGGAGCUGGGGCACCUUUGGGAGGCUCCCAGCCUGGCUGUGACGUGUGGCUGGUGCUGAUGUCCCCAGCCUCUGCCUGGCACUGGGGUAAUCUUGGGGCUCUGUUUUUUUUUUUUUCUUUGGGCACCCAGCACAGUGGUGCCAUCCUCCACUUCAGGCACUGAUGAGGCUCCUCUGUCAGCUCCUGGGCUGGGGCUGAGGGCUGCUCCUCUCUCACUGGCAGAAACAGAGGAUCCAAAAAGUCAAUCACAGGUAUUCUGCAGGACCGGGGGUUCAGGCUGGCACCCUUGGGAGCUUGGGGGGAGAGGGGAGACUCAGCUUGCUGUGUUAAAAUAAUUGGCUGAAAAACAAAGAUAUUAUAAGGUGAACUAUCCUCAUUAUAAUAGGAAAAAAAUAAUUGGCUGGGAGACCCCAGCCCAACAAGAGACCGUUCCCCUUCCCCUUCCCCUCUGAGGAUAUACAGAAUGAUUUUGUCAAGUCAGCCAUACCCUAACUAGAAGUUACAGGAUUGUACUGGGUAACUCUAAUUCUAACUAAUUAGAAACUAGAGGAUUGUACUAACAUGUAAAGGUAGUGAUAAGAGACAAGUGAGGCAUGGAGAAACUUUAGGUCUGCCAGCAUAGUGGGAAACCUCCUGGCGCCCAGGACUUGUGGGAUUCUGAAAUAAACACUGUCUCAACCUAGUAUGUGGAUUGAUUGUCUCAUUGCACACUGGGCAACGCAUCCCAAC